rnacentral:lncRNA from 1 species
AUGCGAUGGGGCGGGAGAGGGCGGGGACGGGGGGAACUAUUUGCUCGCAGCUCCGAGGCUUUGCCGGGCUCCUGGUGGGAAGGAGGAGAAAGGCUCCCGCCCGUUAUACAACAGAGAUUGUUUAUCUCUGCGUUAGCGAUGUUUGCUUUGGAGCCGCUCCAGCCUCUUACACACGCCAGCAAAACACGCCACGAAAACACCGAGCUCCCGCAGGCGGCCGGGCCGCACCUCAGCGCACCCGGCUGCGGCCCCGUCCCGCUGCGGUGCCCGCUCGGCGCCGAGCGCCGGCUGCCCCGGCCCCCCAACCCCGGCCCGGCCUUGGCCCGCGGGCUCCCCCCGCUGCCAGAAAAGUGCAUCUGCCGCAGCGUCCCUUGCCCGUCGAACCGUCUAUCAGAAAACGCGUGCAUCAAGAAAACACGCGUCGGCAAACAGGAUCUCUGUCGGCAAAUACCAAGAGCAGGGGGGCGAGGGAACGAGCCGAGGCGGAGCUGUGUUCCCAACCCACGUUCCCCAAAGGGCGCUGCUACUCCUGAGGGAUCUGGUCCCUCAGCGUCAGCCCGGGCCCACGAGGCGGCAGCGGUGGUUCGGGGCUGUGCGGGAUCACGGCUGUCAUUAACCUCGACGCGGGGACACGGAGGGGCCGGGGCACGGCGGGGAAGAGGAGCGCUGCGCGGCACGGCGCUUCCAGCCCCAAAGCCCGCGUGGCGGGGGGCAGGUCGCGCUGACGGAUGGCCACGAAGGCGGCCCGCAGCCGGGCCCGCUGACUCAUUUUUGGCCGCCUGGGGAGGUGCAGCACCUCUCGCCUCCGCCACUCUGUUCCCUGGGGUUUUCCCUCUCCCAUUGCUCGAGCAGGAGCUGAAUUACCAAAAGCGCUCAUCACGUGGCCCUGAGAGUGCAGACCCAGUUUCAUUUACUGUAAGUGCACGGGCUCGAAAAUACUCCGGUUUCCCGCAGAACAGAAGAGCUGCACACUGCCCGGAGACGCAGGAGGAAAGGGAUCUGCACCACGUUUUGGAUCCCCGCAUCCCACUCACCUGA